rnacentral:rRNA from 1 species
UACGAAGGGGGCUAGCGUUGCUCGGAAUCACUGGGCGUAAAGCGCACGUAGGCGGAUUGUUAAGUCAGGGGUGAAAUCCUGGAGCUUAACUCCGAAACUGCAUUCGAUACUGCCGUGCUUGAGGACUGGAGAGGAGACUGGAAUUUACGGUGUAGCGGUGAAAUGCGUAGAUAUCGUAAGGAAGACCAGUGGCGAAGUCGGGUCUCUGGACAGUUCCUGACGCUGAGGCACGAAGGCCAGGGGAGCAAACGGG